rnacentral:tRNA from 1 species
GCCCGUGUGGCUCAGUUGGUUGGAGCAUUGGCCUGUACACCAAAAAGGCUGCAGGUUUGAUUCCUGGUCAGGGCA